rnacentral:tRNA from 1 species
UUUGAUCAACGUCGAUAAAUGUCGAAUCUUGAUGAUUUGUAAUCAUCAGGUGGCGGGUUCGAGUCCUGCAGCCGGCACCA